rnacentral:rRNA from 1 species
UACGUAGGGUGCGAGCGUUACUCGGAAUUACUGGGCGUAAAGCGUGCGCAGGCGGUUCGUUGUGUCCGUCGUGAAAGCCCCGGGCUUAACCUGGGAAUUGCGAUGGAAACUAGCGAGCUGGAGUGUGGCAGAGGGGGGUGGAAUUCCGCGUGUAGCAGUGAAAUGCGUAGAGAUGUGGAGGAAUACCGAUGGCGAAGGCAGCCCCCUGGGCCAAUACUGACGCUCAUGCACGAAAGCGUGGGGAGCAAACAGG